rnacentral:lncRNA from 1 species
UCAUGUGGCUUGAGCUCUGAGACGUGCGGAUGAGGCUGGACAACUACUACCCAUACAAUUAGGGGGUCAAAAUAACUUUAAAUAAAUAGCAUCGGACUUUCAUAUUUUUCUUUUUGACGUGGAGAAAACAUUUUCAUGCCUAAAAAUGUCUUUGAGAUAAUGCCAAUUCUGAUGUCCCUUACCUUUUGGCCAAGAAGUUUGAGAUUUUUUCAGCUAAUUUGUUAUUUGACCAGAAGUUGUCUGGGGAGACUGAGUUCUUUGAGUUGCAUAUAAAUGGGGGUAUAUUAUUUGCCAAAGGUAAAAUUGAGUUUAUUCUUUUUCAUACAGAAAUGGAUUUUGCUUUUGUUUGCUUUUUAUUUUUGUGUAAAAUCUAAAUUCCAGGAGCUAUGGGGUUCAUCCAGGCAUGAAGGCUAAUCCACUCUGAGUAAAGUGUCAGUUGCACAGCUCCGUCCUCUUCUGUCUUGCACUGUGGGUGGCACUAUUUAUUCCUGUGCGUCAUCUGGAAGCCUCACGGAUACAUCCAGCUAUGUGCUUGUCUGGUAGCCUUUGCGUUUAACAAACUAGCAUGAGGCCUUUCAUAUCUAAAUGCUGUGUGAUAGACAAUUUCAGCUAGCCACAUAUUGUAUUAUGAAAUUCAUAAAGAUUUUCAAUCAUUCAAUUUCAUUUAUCAACUGAAAUUUUGUUUAGUAUGUGAAUUUUUUUUUGAAAUGUAUAGUAAAUAAGAUGUUGCACUGGUGGCAAUUCAUCAUGGAACAUAAUAAAAUUAAUUUGACCCAAAUAGU